CCUACGUGAGGCAGCAGUGGGGAAUAUUGGACAAUGGGCGAAAGCCUGAUCCAGCCAUGCCGCGUGUGUGAAGAAGGCCUUCGGGUUGUAAAGCACUUUCAGUGGGGAAGAAAGCCUUGGGGCUAAUACCCUCGAGGAAGGACAUCACCCACAGAAGAAGCACCGGCUAACUCCGUGCCAGCAGCCGCGGUAAUACGGAGGGUGCGAGCGUUAAUCGGAAUUACUGGGCGUAAAGCGCGCGUAGGCGGUCUGAUAAGCCGGUUGUGAAAGCCCCGGGCUCAACCUGGGAACGGCAUCCGGAACUGUCAGGCUAGAGUGCAGGAGAGGAAGGUAGAAUUCCCGAUGUAGCGGUGAAAUGCGUAGAGAUCGGGAGGAAUACCAGUGGCGAAGGCGGCCUUCUGGACUGACACUGACGCUGAGGUGCGAAAGCGUGGGUAGCAAACAGGAUUAGAUACCCGGGUAGUC
rnacentral:rRNA from 1 species